AUGUCGACCGUCGUCGCAGCACCGGCUCGUAGCAUGGCGGCGCCGUCGCAGCACAUCGAUGGUCGUCGAAGCACUGGCUCGCAACAUGAUGGUGCCUCCGAAGCAUCGUUGGAGCAGCUGGGGCACCGUCGCAGCAUCGCCGCGCGAUGGAAGCAACCCGGGCCACUCGCGCCAUGGAAGCAAUCCUGCAUCAUUGAGGCGGUGGAGUUUUUUUCCAGCUCAUUGGUGGAGCUUGUUGCGGCGGUGGUGGAGGUGGUGGUGGAGAAGUUGGGGCAGUGUGGUGGAGGCGGUGGAGGUGAAGCUCCGGCAGUUUGGUGGAAUUUCCCGCUCCGAUUCCGGUGA
rnacentral:rRNA from 1 species